rnacentral:rRNA from 1 species
AAAGAACGCUGGCGGCAUGCCUAACACAUGCAAGUCGAACGAAUUUAUAAUCUAGCUUGCUAGAAUAUAAGUUAGUGGCAAACGGGUGAGUAACACGUAGGAAUCUACCUUACAGAAUGGAAUAACAGUUGGAAACGACUGCUAAUACCAUAUACGCUCUUCGGAGGAAAGAUUUAUCGCUGUAAGAUGAGCCUGCGUUAGAUUAGGUAGUUGGUGGGGUAAUGGCCUACCAAGCCUACGAUCUAUAGCUGGUUUGAGAGAACGACCAGCCACACUGGAACUUAGACACGGUCCAGACUCCUACGGGAGGCAGCAGUGGGGAAUAUUGGACAAUGGGCGCAAGCCUGAUCCAGCAAUGCCGCGUGAAUGAUGAAGGCCUUAGGGUUGUAAAGUUCUUUUAGUGGGGAAGAUAAUGACGGUACCCACAGAAAAAGCUCCGGCUAACUCUGUG